GUCACCCCCACCAACUUGUUCAUGGUUUUUCUUUUUUCUUCUUUAUUCUAUAUAGAUGUAUAAUAUUAAUACACAUUAAAAUGGGGAUAUAGAAGCUUUUUUUAGUGUAUUUACAUUUGUUUUUUGUGUCACUUAUAUUGUCAAGACUUUGCAUUGAAGCAUUCACCAAUUUCAGUCCCUUCUACUCUCCAAUGUGAAAAGGAAUAAAAGAAUAAUACCCCAUCCUGUAUUUAUUAUUUUUUCUCACCCAAAAGAUAAAUACAAAAAAUGUAAUUAUAAUUAUCUUUUAAGAUUUUUUUUGGAGACUGUCUAUUAGUCAUAUUAUCAAAUGGGACAAGACGUUAUUAUAUCACU